AUGACCUGGGAGGAUCCUAGGAACUCAAGACUCCUGGAUGGAGAGGGGCGUGAAGGCGCCAGCAGAGGCCUGCAUGUGCCUGGCAGCGCCCUGCUGCUGGGGCUGACCAAUGGAGGAACUGCCACCGGUCCCAUUAGCUGCCAGGACAUCCAGAAGCAAAGUGAAUCCAGGGUCCUGUCUUCCUGCCACCACGCAGUGGCCAAGCAUGCCGCAGAGGCCCCCUACCAACGCCUGCUGUGGCCAAGGUUGCGGAGGUGGUGUCGGGCCCCGCUGCUGUGCGCCUGGAUUUGGAGAGAUGCUGCUUCCUUGGAGACCACUAGGUGGAUGCUCCUUCCUCCACCCCAGAUGCAGAGACGCCCACAGGCUUCUGGUCGUGUUUGGUUUGGAACGUGCGGUGGGCUGGGGAAGGGGCUCCAUCUCCCACGGGCUGGGGAAGGGGCUCCACCAUCUCCCACAGGCUGUGGAAGGGGCUCCACCAUCUCCCACGGGCUGUGGAAGGGGCUCCACCAUCUCCCACGGGCUGUGGAAGGGGCUCCAUCUCCCACGGGCUGGGGAAGGGGCUCCAUCUCACUAGCAGUUUGUUCUGCAAGUCCUCAGUCUCUGAGUGAAUGUCUUAGAAAAUGAACAGUUACUUUAACUUGACAGCUGAGUUUGUUAAAGUUUCAGGAGUGAAAUAAAUGGUGUGACUAGCACGUCUCCAGAUGUGUAUACACAGAACAGCAGCCUCCAAAAUGGGAAGACUGAUGUGUUUCCUUUGCUUCCUCCACUGCGAGAUUUGCUCAUGCAGCUGGCCACACCUGUUGGAAACGCAGCAGUGCAGCACAUGACCCCACACAGGAAAGGUGCAGGUGCUCCCCACUGCAGACAGAUGCAGGAAACCCAACUCCCCCUCCCCCCGCUCUUCCCUGGUAGGAAGUUGGUCCGUGGGUCUGUUGUGCACAGUGAAACCCAACAUGGCAGCGUCUGGUGGCCUUCCAACGAGGACACCCAACCUGCUGGUGCCCCACCCUGGAGGUGGUGCUGGGGUGCUGUGGGGCAGGUGGCAGCAGGACGCACUGCCUUCCCUGCUCUCCAAGGUGUGCUGUCUUCUACCUUGUUCCACUCAUCACUGCCAUCGCUGACCGAAGCUUCUGUGAGCUUGCAGGUGAAUGGCCUUCAGGCCGGUCCCUCUACCAACUCCUCCCAUGUUAACUAGGUCUUGAGACCUGUGACUCCUUUUUCUUUAAUUAUGUCCUUUGCUUCUUAACCACUUCUGCUGGUUCAUGUGAGGGGUGAACAGGUACAGAUGAGGAAAGGAAGACCCACAGAGAUGGGUGGCUUCCCCAAAGUGGACAAACCACUGCCACCCCUUGCUUCCUUCCUACCUGGAGGAAAGCCACAGGGUGCCUGCCUCCCCUCCCCAGGGCACUUAUCAUGUUGAAGUGACAGUGUUUCUAGGGGCAGAGAAGGACAGAGGUGCUUCUGGGAUAAUUACUUCAUGUUGUGGGUUGAAUCUAUAAUAUAGUGUAGCACAGUAUGAUAGAAGACAGUAUAGGAUAGUAGAGUGCACCAUACUGUACAGCUGCACAGCAUAUAGUAUGGCAUGGAGUGACACAGUACAGUGUAGAAUAAUAUGCUACAUUAUGGUCUAAGAUAGUAUCAUAUAGCAUAGUGUGGCAUAGUGUAGUAUAGUGUAGCAUAAUGUAGUGUGGGAUAGUGUAAUAUAGUACAGCACAGUAUGAUAUAAGGAAGUGUAGUAUAGUAGAGUCCACUGUACUGUACAGCUGCACAGCAUAUAGUAUGGUGUGGCGUGACACAGUACAGUGUAGAAUAAUACACUACAUGAUGGUAUAAGAUAGUAUCACAUAGCAUAGCGUGGCAUAGUGUAGUGUUAAGUAGCAUAAUGUAGUGUGGGAUAGUGUAAUAUAGUGUAGCACAGUAUGAUAUAAGGAAGUGUAGUAUAGUAGAGUCCACUGUACUGUACAGCUGCACAGCAUAUAGUAUGGCAUGGCGUGACACAGUACAGUGUACAAUAAUACACUACAUUAUGGUAUAAGAUAGUAUCAUAUAGCAUAGUGUGGCAUAGUGUAGUGUUAAGUAGCAUAAUGUAGUGUGGGAUAGUGUAAUAUAGUAUAGCACAGUAUGGUACAGUAUAGUAUAAGAUGGCAUUGUACAGUAUACUUUAGCAUUGUGUAGCAUAGUGUAGCACAGUAUGAUAUAAGGAAGUAUAGUAUAGUAGAGUGCACUGUACUGUACAGCUGCACAGCAUAUAGUAUGGCGUGGCGUGACACAGUACAGAGUACAAUAAUACACUACAUGAUGGUAUAAGAUAGUAUCAUAUAGCAUAGUGUGGCAUAGUGUAGUAUAGUGUAGCAUAAUGUAGUGUGGGAUAGUGUAAUAUAGUGUAGCACUGUAUGAUAUAAGGAAGUGUAGUAUAGUAUAGUGCACCAUACUGUACUGUUGCACAGCAUAUAGUAUGGCGUGGCGUGACACAGUACAGAGUACAAUAAUACACUACAUGAUGGUAUAAGACAGUAUAACAUAGCAUAGUGUGGCAUAGUAUAGUAUAGUGUAGUAUAGUGUAGUGUAGUAUAGCAUAAUAUAGUGUGGUAUAGUAUAACACAGUGUGAUGUGGUGUAGUGUAGUAUAGUGUAGUGUAGUGUAGUAUAGUAUAGUAUACUAUAGUGUAGUGUAGUAUAGUGUAGUAUAGUAUAGCAUAGUGUAGUGUAGUAUAGUAUAGUGUAGUGUAGUAUAGUAUAGUAUAGUAUAGUGUAGUGUAGUGUAGUAUAGUAUAGUGUAGUGUAGUAUAGUAUAGUAUAGUGUAGUGUAGUGUAGUAUAGUAUAGUGUAGUGUAGUAUAGUAUAGUGUAGUAUAGUGUAGUGUAGUAU
rnacentral:lncRNA from 1 species